UAGGGAAUCUUCCGCAAUGGGCGAAAGCUUGACGGAGCAACGCCGCGUGAGUGAUGAAGGUCUUCGGAUCGUAAAACUCUGUUAUUAGGGAAGAACAAAUGUGUAAGUAACUAUGCACGUCUUGACGGUACCUAAUCAGAAAGCCACGGCUAACUACGUGCCAGCAGCCGCGGUAAUACGUAGGUGGCAAGCGUUAUCCGGAAUUAUUGGGCGUAAAGCGCGCGUAGGCGGUUUUUUAAGUCUGAUGUGAAAGCCCACGGCUCAACCGUGGAAGGUCAUUUGAAACUGGAAAACUUGAGUGCAGAAGAGGAAAGUGGAAUUCCAUGUGUAGCGGUGAAAUGCGCAGAGAUAUGGAGGAACACCAGUGGCGAAGGCGACUUUCUGGUCUGUAACUGACGCUGAUGUGCGAAAGCGUGGGGAUCAAACAGG
rnacentral:rRNA from 1 species